rnacentral:rRNA from 1 species
UCGGGAAUUUUGGGCAAUGGGCGAAAGCCUGACCCAGCAACGCCGCGUGAAGGAUGAAGUAUUUCGGUAUGUAAACUUCGAAAGAAUAGGAAGAAUAAAUGACGGUACUAUUUAUAAGGUCCGGCUAACUACGUGCCAGCAGCCGCGGUAAUACGAAGGUGGCAAGCGUUAUUCGGAUUUACUGGGCGUACAGGGAGCGUAGGCGGUUCGGUAAGCCCUCUGUGAAAUCUUCAGGCUUAACCUGGAAAAGUCGGAGGGGACUGCUGGGCUAGAGGACGGGAGAGGAGCGCGGAAUUCCCGGUGUAGCGGUGAAAUGCGUAGAGAUCGGGAGGAAGGCCGGUGGCGAAGGCGGCCAACUGGCUCGAUACUGACGCUGAGGUGCGAAAGCGUGGGGAGCAAACAGGAUUAGAUACCCUAGUAGUCCCUGAGCGGGCUGGCAAGGCGCAU